rnacentral:rRNA from 1 species
GAUGAACGCUGGCGGCGUGCCUAAUACAUGCAAGUCGAGCGAAUGGAUUAAGAGCUUGCUCUUAUGAAGUUAGCGGCGGACGGGUGAGUAACACGUGGGUAACCUGCCCAUAAGACUGGGAUAACUCCGAGAAACCGGGGCUAAUACCGGAUAACAUUUUGAACCGCAUGGUUCGAAAUUGAAAGGCGGCUUCGGCUGUCACCUAUGGAUGGACCCGCGUCGCAUGAGCUAGUUGGUGAGGUAACGGCUCACCAAGGCAACGAUGCGUAGCCGACCUGAGAGGGUGAUCGGCCACACUGGGACUGAGACACGGCCCAGACUCCUACGGGAGGCAGCAGUAGGGAAUCUUCCGCAAUGGACGAAAGUCUGACGGAGCAACGCCGCGUGAGUGAUGAAGGCUUUCGGGUCGUAAAACUCUGUUGUUAGGGAAGAACAAGUGCUAGUUGAAUAAGCUGGCACCUUGACGGUACCUAACCAGAAAGCCACGGCUAACUACGUGCCAGCAGCCGCGGUAA